UUACCUUAGCAAAAUCCAUGUUACAUGAGGUGGGCCUAUGCAAUCCUUAGAAGAUAUAUAUGGAAAAGAAUUUGCCAACACCCAUCAAUCCAUCACCUUCGUACACUUGACAUCACUCCACCUAGUUACCUCACAUUGACUCCAACAAUGUUCCUAGCUGACAGCCUACCACAGUACCAUAUGUACUAUAUAGUAGAGUAUUUGAUGUUUGAGCUCCACACCAAGCCAACCUCCUUCUACAAAUACCUUCCUUCAAU
rnacentral:lncRNA from 1 species